AGCCGAUACUGGCUGCCCAGCGGGACCUGAUGAGACAUCGGAAGCUCACAUGACCUCCAUUAUCACUGUCACUGCCGUGCGUGCUGUUCACACAAACAUCGGAGAUCUGAGAAAACUGGAGCUCUGAGAGGUGGACUACCUUGCUCCAAGACAUACGGCCCUUCUCCCACUGCCAGGCAGGACUGAGUUACUGCUUUCCUGAGAGGAGGGAACCACAUCACUCCUCAAAAGGAAACUGGAGACCACGCUAGGUGAGCCCAACUUUCCUGGAUACCAG